AUGAAAAAUGUCGCGUGUAGAGAGGAUGAAGAAGGGUUCAGGGUGAGGGAUUUGAGAGAGAAUCACUGUGAGAGAAUGGUGAUGUUUCAGAGAGAAAGCAAACAAAGGAGAGAGUUUCAGCUUUUUCUUAGUGAGUUUUCUGAAUCCUUCUCUGUGAAUUUUUGUCAAGUGAAUAAUCGUAUCUCACUGAAUGAAUCCGCCCCUGCACUCUGUUAUGGACCUCCUCCUCUUUUGUGUAUCCUUGUUUCUUAUAUGUAG